UCACAGCAGCCGGUCUGGCUUGCCCCAGCUCUACAUCCCAGAGAAAUCCCCAUACCCAGUCCAAACUGCGGCUCAUGACACUUCCUCCAGCCCCACCACUUCCAGGAUCGGGAGUCAGGAGCAGCAGCUCUCAAGGUCUCUAACAUCACAGAUGCACCCACUCUGUUUUGGAUACAGAAACAGACUGCCUGCCCUGUAUCCCGUUAUUAUCUAGUGCUUGGAGGCAGAGUGGUAAAAUGAGCUCGCUAUUUAGGAGGUGUUGCAAAUCUAUGGCUUUGAGAGACGUCUUUGUCUCAGGACCUGGUCCAUACAACAGUGAAGACCUUUCUGUGCUUAGCUGGGGCUGUAAGGAGUUUGGAGUGAAUAGCAAACUUCUACAAUGUGGUGGCUGAUAUGAAUGUGUCAGGUCAGCCAUGAUGACUCUUGCAUGGAAAAUGAGGAUUUAUCUGCAUGUCCCAUGGGCAUGAGGGCAGUGGGACCCAUGGCAUCAGACCCUUUGGCCUCUGGUACUUCCUCACUCUCAGGGAAGCUGAGUCCUGGGUGAGCUGUUGAUGAACGUGGGAACAAGCACUACUCUCCCUCUGAGACUGGAAAGGAAAUCACAACUAGACUUAACCUGCCAACUGUUGGAGUUCAUUGCAAGGGUGGGACUGGGAGAAGUGACUCGGAACUGCUUGCUCCUAGUGAAAGCCAAAGGUUUCCAGGAAUGAAGAUGCAAACGUGGUGUCUCAUUGGAUUUGGCCCGAACAGCUUUUCCUUUCCAAGAUAAUAGAUAUAUGGUUGGAUUCUCAGCUGAUGGGAAGCAACGCUGAUUCAUAGCAGCUGAAGACAGAGCCCCUUGUGUUUUGUCUUGUCUUCUCAUCUCAUUGAACUUCCCAAGGAUCUAAAUGAAUUGUGUCCAAGGAAGGGCAAUGAAGCCGUGAAGGGUCUGGAGCACAAGUCUUAAGGGGAGCGGCUGAGUGAACUGGGAUGGUUCAAUCUGGAGAAGAGGAGGCUCAGGGGAGACCUUGCUGCUCUCUGCAACUGCCUGAAAGGAGGCUGUGGAGAGCUGAGGAUUGGACUCUUUUCCCAGCUCUACUUACUCCAAGAUAAGAACAGUAACGUGGGCCGUGGGAAGCAAUGUGCUGGAGUGAGCUGUAUGCCAUGGAGAGCUGAGGCACAGGGAGGAGUAGGUGUGGACCAAAAGGCUCUGCCCUGAAUGAAGUCAGAGCCUGUUUUCCUCUUUCACUUCCGAUUUUGGAUCAAUGCUAGAGGCUGCAAAACUAACCCAAGGAAGGAAAAAGCCUUUGAUUAGCCAAUCUGAGUGAUAAAGGAAAGUAUUGAGCAGAAAGUGCCGUCAAUGAGCUACUCAAUGCAACAAUUAGAAGGUGAAACUUUUUCUUUUCCUUUCUAAGCAAGACACACCUCUGCUCUGCUGGAAGGAGGUGGGUGGGAGGAAUUUUUCUUGUUCUGGUGCCCAAUUGUCUCCCGGACCUUUUCCAUUUCAAAGAAGAGUGUGACCUAUAAAACCGACCCACUUUCACAUCACCCAAUGUAGGCUAUGAAACUAUCUGACAUUUAAAGGGACACUCCUGGUGUUUUCAGUGACAAGCUUCCUGUGACAAUAAAUUAAUGAAGAGGUGUAGAAAAAUGUUUUCUGUGCAGGUGUGCCUGGAAUAUUUCUCUUUAAAGAAUCUUUCCAAUGCUGCUGGCAAUGUAAAUGGUCAUACAGCUGAAGUUUUGCUCAGAUGGGGAAUCCCACUGUUCUGUGAGCAUGACGUGAGAAUAAAACCCGAGUAGGUUGAUUCAAAGUGCCAACAUGGUAAGUUUGUUUAUUUCUUUCCUGUCUUGAUGGCCAGAUUACUAUUAUAAAACUGAUUAGGUUCUCUCCCCCCCAGAUAGGGUGUUUUCAAGCAUGGGAGCGUCUAAACCAGACAUAUGGUCUGAUUUUGGGGUGGUCCUGUGUGGAGCCGGGAGUUGGAUCCUUACUGGACUCUUCCACGUUGGGAUAUUCUGUGAUUCUGUGUGGUGGUUCAACAGGUGACUCUGAGCUACUCCAUGGAAACCAGUGGCCACGGAAAAGAGAACACAGUUAAUACCCCCUUGGCAUGAAGGUGAAAUUACGUCUGGACUGUGCCUACUCCAAUCCAGGACAGACCCCGAGCUUCUCUUGCUGUGGUUCUGCAGGGACAAAAGGUGCCACCAUAGGCUCUCUCUGAACACAGGUUGGAAAAAUGAGACACCCAAGGCAACCUGGCCUCAGUGACAGUGCCUCUGGACUUCAAGGGAGAGCCCAGGAACAAAUUCUGCAAGGAACUUUCUACAGUUUUCCAAAUCCUCUUCCAAGGAGAUGACAGCUUUGCUUCUCCAGGGUGGAACGACACUGGCCUGAUUGCUCUGGAAAAACUUUCAGCCAAGCCAUUGUAGUGCCAUGGAUGAUUUAUGGUUUCAUGUGGAAAAGACAGAGGAUGCCUGCGUUCCUGUGUCCGUGAGGAGGCCUGCCUCCAUUCGUCACUGGAGCUCACCACUUGGGAGUCUGCUUGGAUGAUUAUCUCCAUCUGACAGUGAGAGGCAUCUGUGCGGAGCCGGUCCUUGGUCCUCCGUAACAACACAGGAUCCCACACAGAGAGGAGGAGGCAAGAGACAACAGCUCCCCACACAAGACCAAUCUGGACUUGUUCCAUGUGGGUGACAAAGCGAAGUCCUCUCCUUGCUUGUCCCUUGCCUUCCUGUGCAGCAGGACUGCCAGAAAUCACAGCGGUGCAGUACUCAGCAGGAUGACAAGGAACCCCCAGUCUGGAAGAGAAGCAGCCCUGAUGUUCCUGUGUUCCUGCUGCUCAGCAAAGUGGUUGUGUAUGGAAUGCAAUCAGCGCUCUGCAGCUGCUCCUACAUUAGUGUGCAUCGGAGGCACUCAAUGGAUGUGUCAUUUUGAUGCCCAAGGAACUCCAGAUGGGCAGUCUGCUGGUUGGAUAUCGCAAAGGAUUUUAAACACAAUUGUCUCUUGAAACCCAUGGAGAGGAGCACUUGCCUUCCAGCUAAUGUCUGCUAUUCCAGUUCCAGCAGAACUCAGAGUAGAUGUUAUUAAAGGCUCAUCUUUUCCUGUUCUCUCUGAUACAUCUGUGCUAUGAUGUUGCCAGUAGAGUCAUCGCUGCAUCUAAAGGUGCUGGCCUAGGGCCAUGAAACUCUACAACACCUCCUCCUGAAGUGGCACAGGUGACUGUGAUGAUAUCAACAGAGGUGACAGGAGCAAAGACCUUUCUUCAUGCAAAUAAUCCAGGCAAUGAAGCAAAACUUUCUACAGCUGGAGAAGAGCUGCCUGAAAGCAGAAUCUUUCGCAAAGUUUUCUGUGAGUCCUCAUCAACUCUGACUGCUGUAGAGAGAACCUCUUUGAGCUGUUCAAUAAAUUGGAUGGUUUAAAUAAUAUAUGGACUGUCUUUCUGGAUUCAUGAGAACUGCUGUGAGAAGCAUUGACUUGUUCAGCCUGCAACAGUCUGCUUUCUUUUGCUUUUAAAAGUUAACUUCACUAGGCAUCAAAAUCUCACAUCUGACUUUGGAAUCUGCUUUGGAAGACUUCUGGUGAGACCUGAGCUGGCUGGUGUGCAUUUCACAGCUCUGUUUUUGUGCUGUCUUGCUUGUGUUUCCAGAUGCACUUUUUCUAAAGGUUAUUUAAAAAAUCUUAUGGCAGAGAAGCGAAAAAGGCGUUUUCCCUACAAAAACAACCCAGUCCACCAAUUUCUUAUUCCUGACCAAGUUCAGAUACCUCUCCAGCCUCCAGACUGUUUACUGAAGUUUAUUGCUAUUUGGACUAAGGUUGUGUAUAAAGUCCAGAGAUCAACAACUCACUGGACCAUAUUCUUCUGUCUUCAUUCCAUGACUCCAUCCAUCUCUGACUACUGAAAGAUGCUUUCAGAGGACUGAUCCAUAGUACCAUCCUGAAGUCUAGUGGGAUGUGUCCAAGAUCAGGAUAAAGAUGUUAUUAGGGACACUCUUUUCUUCAUUUUGACUCUUCAGUAUUACCUCAGUGAGAUCUAUGCUUUUAGCCCUAUCUCCAUAGUUAAGCCAGAGGUGAAUAACUACAGUGAACCUACAACAUCAGAGACAUCGUGGAAGAAGAGCUGUCCAUGCAAGGAUUCAAAGAUGUCUUUACGUAGUGAAAACUGGUAUCAACAACCUGUCUAUUCAUUCAUUACAUAUCAGUGGUGGGAAAUCCAGGACAGAACACAUGAGCUUUUCUCCACUGAACGGAUGGACUUGGGCUUGGCUUUGCUCCCUCAAAGCCCCAUGACUGACUCCCCUGAGAACAUAACUCUGGUUUCUCUGACACCCUGAACAAGAGCAAGAUGUCAGGAUUCUUCCUUUGGGCUGCUGCAUGAGAGGAAUGGACCGGUGACAGUGAUGCUACAUCACCUCUUCUGAAUGCAGGAGCUCAGUUUCACUUUUGGCAGCUCUAGGAUGAACCAGUGGAGUUUCCUUGACUCCAGUGGGGAUCAAUUCCAUUUGGAGCCUGUAGCGACUGAUGUCCAGGAGAGCCCGAGCCACGUGGCAACAGGAAGGUUUGCAUGAUGGCUGAUGGCACAUCCUUCCAAAAGGAACUGGGAAGAAUAAAGAAAGACACUGAGGCCUUGGAAUGUGCCCAGAGAAGGGCAAUGGAGCUGUGAAGAGUCUGGGAUACAAAUCUUGUGGAGAGCGGCUGAGAGAACUGGAAUGAUUCAGUCUGGAGAAGAGGAGGUUCAGGGGAGACCUUAUCCCUUCUACAGUGCUCUGAAAGGAGACUAUGGCAAGAUUCUUCCAGCAGAGACACUGUACAAUCACAGGCAGCUGCAGUGAGGAAAAGGUAAAUGCAAUAGAAAACACAGACUUGGAGGAGCAUCUAUUGUCUCAUCUACAUUAAGUGGUGGUCUUGAAAGAUGAGCCAGCAUGGAGAGAGCUCAGAAAGCGCAAAGUGAGCACAUCUACCAGUGGAUGGUCUGCUCCUGCAGAGGCACACCAGUCAGACGGCGCUGCAUCAGAAUCCAUGGUUUUGGAAAACACAGGGUGUGGCGAAUCCUCCAGCCAAUAUAAUAUUGCUCUACGGCCUAGGCAUUUCAGAAAAGCUCUCCUGGAGAAGAGAUGAACUUAUGGCCUCUUCCAGUAGCGAGGGCAUGAAACUAUAUGCUCCCUGUAUCACAGCAUCUGUAACAUACAGCAAGCAGCAAGGAGGUCCAGACAUGGAGGACGGAAGGUGAAAACAAGCCACCCAACCUGAUAAUGAAAAGCAGGCACUUGGCCUUGGUGAGGAGCAUCUCAGAUAAGUAGUUUAAUUGCCAAGCUCUGAUGCUGGAGGGAGGGAAAUCUAAGCUAAAUUAAAAGAUUAAAAAGAUAUUUUUUCAUCAAGUGGCAAAAUGGAAGAUGUGGACGAGUCUGCUCAGGAGAAAAUGAGCAGAAAGGAACUGUGAAUGUUGUGAAAAUAUAUCCAUUAGACCUGCCUUAUCGAAACGUGCUUUUGCCAAGCAUCCAGCCCUGCAUCGCCAUGGCAACAUGGCCUCAUCAACAGAGAAGAAAGUGUUUUUGUCAGGAUGGGCCCAAACACGUAAAAGCCAUUUCGAUUUGGGGGCAACACGAUCUUCUUCAAUCAAUACAGCACACAUAAUAAUGACUCCUGCCACUUUUUUCAUAAAUCUCCACUUUCUGCUUUCAUUUCCUGUGGUUUGACAUCACUGUGAACUGGAACCAAGUUUAAAUUUCCUACAAUUUUCAGUCCCCUCUGCCCUCAUCUACAACACACCAUGCCUCACGCAGCAGCUUUCUCCUUUGCACAGCACUCGACGCACAACACGCUUACAGGUGGGAUUAGCCCAGCCUGAACUGUGAGAUUGGCUUUUGGGACUCCCCAGUGGCACCUCUACAGAAGCGAAGGCUGAAAGUGCGGUCACAGCUGAGAUGUGAGUUGGCCGAUCAUGGGAUGGAGUAUCCUUUUCUCAAGGAGUUAACCAAGGUUGAUACAGACAGAGGAAAGCUACUUCUCCAGACAGACUGUUGCUGCUUUGGAACGUACACAAGGGUCAGCGAUUUGGAUCCUGCUUGUUCCCCAGGGACCUUUGGGUUGAGAAUGGGAGAAGAUGGCAUUUGGACACCAGUGUGUUUGAUUCCCAGAGAACCCCUAAAUCCAUUUCAGAAGUGCCAUUGUCCUCUAGGGAGUGAUGAAUAAGAAAAGGAAGAGCCAGAAGCAUCCUCAGGUGGUGUGAAGAGUGAAAGUUCCAUCAAGAAGAGGAGAGUCAGGUGCAGACUGAACUGGCCCCUGUCAAUCAUUUGCUCUGGAAACAUUUGGAAACAUGCAUGGGCUGCCACUGAGUACUUUUGCUCUGCUUUAUGGGAUAUUUGCUCCAAGAAGCUCUGGCUUUGCAGGAACUCUUCUGUAACAUGGGAGAGAGGGCAACCAAAUGUCUGACUGGGACAUGGAAGCACCAAACAAGUCUGAAAGAGGCUCUUUUUAGUGUGUUUCUCCCUGAAAACAUGAAGUAUAUAAACCUGGUCAUGCGCUGGCACAGGCUGCCCACGGAGUGGUGGAGUCUGUGUCCCUGGAGGUGCUCAAGAACUGUGAUGAUGUGGCACUGAGGGAUGUAGUUAGUGGGCAUGGUGAUGCUAGGCUUAUGGUUGGACUUAAUGGUCUUAUCCAACCUUAAUGAUUCUAUGAUUCUGUGAAACCUUUUGCGCUCUUGGGUUCGUAUUGAGCUCCAUGCUGUGCAGGGUACCUCUCCUUUCCCCCACCCCCAGGCACAGCACCAUUUGCUUGUGAUGGGAUGGUUUCCUAGGAUGGUGGCUUUGUCCCACUGCCCUUUCUGACAAAAGCAGUGCCUGACAGGCCUUCAUAACAAGCCCUUCCUAAAUUAUCACAAAGGCACCCACAACAGAUUUAACAAAUCAUUGUCCUUCCCUACAGUAAUCAUAAAAAAAAUCCCUGAGGGCUGUUCUAUAAUCCACUGGACUCAGAGUCUCCACUAGAGGUGAUAAAGGCAUGUUCAACCACUCGCUCUCGCAAAAGAGACCCACAACCUCUUUGUUAGCCGGAGAAAAGACUAACUUUCACUCCCGGGGACUGAAGACUGUAGAGAUGGCAGGAAACAGCCUCCCCUUGUGCCUUCCCAUAGAGCCAAACACCGCGCACUGCACGGCUGCUUUGAUCGAGGAUGCUGAUGUUUCUCUGCUGGAAUGGUGGCCCUUCUUCCCAGGAAAUGCGAGCAGCGCUGCUGGAGCGGCAGCUUUGAUUUUCAUUGCCUGUCUGGUUCAUUACCGAUCGGGUAAUGACUGACAAUAGGCCAAUCAGAUCUCCAAUAUCACCAUGUCAGCUUCAUAAUUAAUACUACUGCAAACUAAGCUUAUUGUGAUUUAAUUAGUAAUGCUGUAAUAAUGCUACCGCCUGGGCUUAAGGUUACUAAUUUAUAUAAAUAGCUAUGUUAAUGUCUUGAAGCACCAAGUAUUAAUUGCAUCAGUUUCGGUGUUAGACUCUGGUUGGCUUGUGGCAGAUGAAAAACUCAACAACUUUUAGUGUUGUGGGGGAAAACGUGUUUUUUGAUCUUUUGCCUGUUGUUUUUAACUAGGCAAGAAGCAGUCACAGACAAGGCUGGAGGGAUUUGGAUAAUAUGGGCCAGGGAGCAGUAUUUGAGAUUCAAAUCCCUUUUUGCUUGGAUCUGUUAUUUUUUCUUUUUCCUUUCCACUACUAGCAUCUCUCCCCCCCUACCCCCCACCCUUUCCUCUCCUCCCUCCUUCCUCUUAAAUAUAUAAAUAAAUCUGAGCUGCUUGCAUCGACAGUUCCAAUUUGCCACAAUUGGAAGUUGCACACAUGAGAGAUCUCUGUGCAGCCAGCUCGCAUUUUAUUUUCAAAUCUAGAAUUAAAAGGAAAGAAGGGGAAAAAAAAGAAGAGGGCCAUGGGAGCACGAGGAGGAUUUGCAUACAUCAGAGCUCUACAUGAGCUAGGGCCUAAGCUCUUUCUAUGGGCUUGAAUAAACUACUAGAGGGAAAAUGGAACAAGAAAAAAGGAAAAUGGAGUGGCAAAAAUUCCUGACCCUUUCUCUGGGAUUGAUGGGGGCUCAUCUUCCUGUGAUGGGGAUGGGGUUGGUGGUAGAUCCCUGUGUUGAACUAGCAAGGAGUGUCUGAGACAAAGGGAAGAAUUAGGUAAACCAGUGCUAGAGCAGAAUUGAGUCCCAUACUGGCAUCCACUGGACUUAUGUUAGACUCACACACACUAAAGAUGGAGGAAGGCAUGGCACCAGAGGAGAUGGAUCUAUUUAGGUAUUUAAACUAGCAUUCUUACCCCAGUUCUCAGUCCUUUUCCCCAAACUACUUCUUAGACUUGUACACUCAUUUUUCUUAUAGACAACAAAUAUGCCCACAAGCAAGGGCAGAUUCUGCUCAGGUUUACAAGGAAUUACAAAUAUGUGUGUUUUCCCUUUCCCCAGUCUUCCUCAUGAACUAAACAACUGUCUUCAUACUGGAUCAGGGCUGGAUGCUCCAAGAAGGGCUUCUGCUGGUGUUCUGCACACGAGUUGGAGUGGACUGGAGACAAGCCACUGCCAGAUGUCUCUGCCAGGUGUCAAAAGACAGAUGAGAGAAAUACCACUCUGAUAUUGACUGCCAUGGCAGGUGCAAUAGUUGUUCAACAAGUUCUCUUCGACAGUCCCGAGAAGUUGCAGACCCGUGGUCUCAUAGAAUUUUCCCCACUCUUUCACUGAUGAGCGAGCGAUCAUCAGGACCACAACCAGCAAUGACCAAGCAGUUCUCUGCAAGAUGUGGUUUUUUUUUUUCCCCAGGCUUUCAGGCUGGCACAGUUAUCACCAAAGAUGGUUACCCGUUCCUCUUUUUUGCAAAAGUAGUGACGGAGAGGCUGAAAAAUCCAGGAACUGGCAGACAAGCAUAAAAAUAUCGCAAAUCCAGCUGCUAAAUAGUCUGAGGUAACUGGAAUGAACUGCUCUUCCAAUCAUGCUCCAGCUAUGACUGUACUCUAAGAAGCAGAGUCUGUGAUAAAUAUAACUUGGCUGAAUGCAAGAAUUUAGAUCGUGCAUUAGAUAUUGAAUUCAUUACCUCUACAUGUGUCUAUAUCCAGAGGCUGUAUGUGCCCUUAUCUCAUCUAUAUCCAAAAUGCUCUUAAUUUCAUUGAUGCUGACACUUAACUCUUGAAAUACUUCUCGGUUUUUUUUUAAGAAGCUCCACUAGCAAGCCAAGCCAUCCAGGAGCAUCACAAAGAUGUGACAGUGUUAGGAAUAGGAUCCCCUUUGGGGAAAAUCAGCUUGCAUAAAAUCAUAAAAUAUAGAUUUCUUCAUUUUUAAUGUUUCUUUUUUUCCUUCUUGUUUCUUUCCCCUUGCAAAAUUCAGGCCAGCUGUUGGGAUUGACAGUAAUGACUCCCAGUGAGCUGGACUUUAAUCAGCUCAGCUGGAAUACAGUGAAGGACUUUUGGAAAUCUAAGCUACUCCAGCAAAAUGGAUUUAUCUUCUCAAUUAGUCACAGAUGCUAGUGGGAUCCACCAGGUGUGCUACCGAACAGACCCAUGUGGCAUAGCUUGUAGAAAUCUUCCAUUGCUGCAGCCCAUUCAUGACUUCUCUCUGUGCCUGCAGAAAUAUGUAGCCAGAAAUGACGAAAAAUCCACCUAUUUCAAAGUUGUCAGUGAAGUGAGUGAUUAGAUUUCUUUUUCCUAGUUCAUGCUGGUCAGGACUUGAAAUCCCCAUCUGUGUGAGCAGGUCAUCAAACGUCUUGGCCAACAAGACCAACUCAGCACUUUGUACUGACCUUCAUUAUCCAGAUUAGAAAGGGAACUAGCACACCAUAUGCCAGACAUAAAAGUCUCCAGCAAUUCUCUUUUCAGCACGACACUCCUGGGUUUGGAUCCCAGCCAGUUUGUGCUCUUUGAAACUUAUAAAUUGCUUUCAUCUCCCAGACAAGGUAAAAUCAAAUUGGUGUAAGGGAUGUCACAUUGCUGAUGAAGAUGCAGAAGCAAAGUUAACUCUAACAUGGGCUUAGCACACUGUAUGAAAAAUAUCUUAAUAGGCACGGCUGCUUCUUUUGGUUGGCCUUGGAAAAAGAGAAAAAAAUACAGUGUUUCUGAAAGCUGCAAUAAUAUUAAAUGAAACAGUUUCUUUCCUCAUUCAGAUUCAGAGUCUGAGUUCUGCAGCUUUUCCUACCAUGCCCAUGAAUGGUGAGGUAUGAAUUAGGACACACAGAAGUUUAUAAAUGGUAGUGUUCUGCUGAGCUAUGCACGUGUCUUAGAGUCUUUUCCUUUUUAUGUAUUUAUGGUCACUAAUCUCUCCCUGGCUACAAUCCCUACUCAAUCCUCUGUCCAUACAGGAUUCAUUUUAUCAGGUUUUUCCAUCUGUAGCUGUAACGAUAAUUGACUGUUAACAAGUCUGUUGGCUCUGGAAUGCAGCCCUUGAAAGGAGUGUUCCUCACCCAGAGAGCGGGAUGAGAUAGCUGAAAGCAGUUGGACUUGCUUUCCUCAUUAUACUCUCAGCAGACUGAAUGGGAGUGUUUUCUCCAUCCCUAAUUUUUGUGAUACAGUAGUGCUCACCAUGUUUCCCUCCUGCUUUUCCCACACCUUCCUCAAGGUCCUACAGUGCUCCUCCAAGCUGUUUCCACUUCCACUACAAUCUAAAUAUCCCAAAGGAUGUCUCACCAACCUCAUCUCUCCCCUUCCUCCGUCCUACCCUGUUUUAUGCAGUACCCAUAUAACUGAUGGCUGAUAUCAUGCAGGGUGGUACCAUGCACAGAGCAUUUUUGUGCCCGUGGUGUCCAUCCCUGUUGCUCUGUGAAAGCUGAGCACUUAUGGGGUGCUUCCUUCAGCAGGGGACUGUGGUUUCUCUCCUCGAUAUAGGCACUGACACUUGUAAAUCCUGCAGGAACUUUGUACUACUCAGACUCUCAGCUGUCUGUCAAACUCGAUUGAAAUUGGCCGACUGGUUCUAAAGUUAUUAGAGAGGAACUGACAGACAGAAUGAUUGGAGAGGAAAUCAGGCUAAAAAUAUUAACAUCCUGAGAUAGCAACUUUGUUCUUUCAGGAUUAUCAGCAUAAAAUAUAUGUACACUGCUUAGCACAGGCUUCUUCCUACCUUUCCACUGCUGCUUUUCUGUCCCUUGUACUGCUCUAUGUAUAGAGGCUUGGAGGCUUCCUUUGCCUAGCUCCAGAAAUUCAGCAAGCUACACAAAGCAGAGGGAGGGAACUGUGUUUUCUGUUUCAGAAAGAAUGGGAAAUGACUGGGUUGUCCUAGCGCUUACAUCAUGGGCAUUUUCUUGCAUGUUCCCUGUGGGGAAUGGCAAUUCACAUUGCCCAGUGAAACCGAAGAAAAAGUCUCUCCCCCCACACAACCCAACUUGCAGUGAGCCUUUAUUCCAUGAGACUGGAAGAGAUCCAAACCAGUUCCCACUAUUGUGGCACCUAAUCUGGACCAGUGGCUAACUGGAGAGGUCUAAGGGUGGACUGUUACACAAGGGUGGGGAGCCAAGAGGGUAGGACUGUGUGCUCUCCAGUGUCCCUGGUCACAUCGUUUGAGGCACAGGGGACACCAGGAGAGGGGGGGACAGAGGGGACAGGCCAUGCAUGGCACCCUUCCCUCCAUCAGGGAAGGCACUGAGGCAGGAGAGCAUGGGGAGGGCAGCAGGGACAGCAAGAAGAGUAAAGGUGGGGGGAACAGAGAGCAUGUAGAGAAAGAAAUGCUGUAAAAGCAGAAAGUUCCUCUUCAUAUUGGCACAGCAAUGUUUGCAGCAUGGCUUAGCAUGCCUCUUCCUGUUAAAUAAAUAUUGUGACAGUUCUAAUCCUAGUGAGCAGGGACGUAACCAGAACUUGGAUUUUCACUGAGGGCAAACAGUAAUGGGUACACUUAAAGUAUUUCAAAUAAGGCUCUAAUUUAGAUCCAUGAAGACAGUGCUGUUUGUUAAAUAAAUAUCAAGCUCAUCUGGUACCAGGCCAGUUGUUGUGGCUAAGGAAGAUAUAUCUAGCUAGUGGCUAUUUAAGCUAGAUGAUGAGUGAACAAGCCCAUGCAGACUGCAAAGUGCAAAACUGAAAAACUGGCAGAAAGACAGAAAGAGUGGGAGAGAAAGAAAGAAAGAGAAAAAGAGAAAGAAAAAAGAGUGAAGGGAAAGAAAGAAAAAGAGAGAAAGAGAAACCUCUUUACCUUUUUUAUAUGCCCUCUUUAGGAACUUUGAAAGCUAUCAAAGGAGACAGCUCCAGCCUGGCAAGGGAAUUAGAUAUCAUUUAAUUGCUAAAAAGAAAAUGACAAAUGCUGGUUCAUAACUAACAUGCUACAACAAUUUUAUGAAAUGUUAAUUGGAAUACCUUACACUUCCCAUAUACCUUUAAUGAAUUAAUGGGGAUGCCACUCUCUAUUUAUAGACCAGUUAAGCUCCUCAGCAACUCCAUUUACUUCUUGUAUAUGUUAUUAAACCUCAGGUGGCAGUUACAUAAUCAAUAUGCUGUCCUUUAAUAAACCUAAAUGAAGAAAAUCCUGGAGUCCUUCGAAAAAGCACAGAGUAGCUCAUGAAGAGUCUGUUACUUUUCUCUGUGAAACUCCUCAACAUUUUCCUGCAUGCAACCUCAGUACUUUAGAUGUUAAGGUUUGGUAUUUUGUUUUGCUCUGCUUUUUGCUUGUUUGUUUUUUAAUAUGGAAAGCUUGGAAGGGAUAAGAUCUAUUAUAGGGAAGUAUCUUAAAAAAUCCACAUGAUUUGACUUCAUAAAAAUGUGUAUUUGUAUCACAUGGCACAGUGUAUUACUUCCAGACUGCAACUGGUUCCAUAGGAUUUUCAUACUGGUGACAGAGUUGGGCAAGCUUGUUUCUAAUCAGGCUUUGAUGUUUCUGGGGAAAUCUUUGAAGACACGACUUAGGAGCCCAGUGGAAUGUAACACCAGCUUUAUGUUGCCUUAAAAAUAAAAUAUUGACUUUAAGAUCAAGAAAACUGUAAGAGAUUUGGUUCAUAUAUAUUACAGGAUUAAAUGUCCUUGGCUACCUAUAUGGAGAAA